rnacentral:rRNA from 1 species
AGGAAGGUGGGGAUGACGUCAAGUCCUCAUGGCCCUUAUGUCCAGGGCUACACACGUGCUACAAUGGCCGGUACAAAGGGCUGCAAGACCGUGAGGUUGAGCGAAUCCCAGAAAGCCGGUCUCAGUUCGGAUUGGAGUCUGCAACUCGGCUCCAUGAAGUUGGAAUCGCUAGUAAUCGCGGAUCAGCAUGCCGCGGUGAAUACGUUCCCGGGCCGUU